UUUGAUGCAGUAGGCUUGAGAUUGAAUCUGCUUGAGUAACCUAUCUGCCACAGCAGCAUCUGAUGAAGCGAGCUGUUGCUGAUGAAAGCUUAUACAUCUCUCAAUUCUAUUCUCCCUGAAUUCAGGCGCACACGGCUAGCUACCUCACUCUGCUCGUGGAUGGCACCAUGUUCAGCUGAAUGAAAUAGACUCCAAUCAAUCUACAAAAGAUAGCAUCUGAAAAAGACCCCUGACUCAUUCGCUACCCAGGAUGGACGGUGAUCACUUAAGGAGCAGCUAUUCAGUAUUGGUUCAGGGUAUGGGGCCAUGGCUUGCUUACCAUUCAGUCCAUACUCUGAAGAGAAAAUACUAAUUUCUUCAGAUGAUUUGCUCACAUGGCGUUCAUCACUACAUUAUCUGAGUGCCUCACAUAUUAAAGCAUUCACAAUACCCUUUUGAAACGAGUGGAUGUUCAAAGGCCCAGUUAGGAGGUGAGAGCAAUUAAGGACGACGCAUCCUUUGGUUUUGACUGUCCUGGAGUCUUCUUUUUCACAGUCUUGGGAUUAUAUAACUUGCUAUGUGUUCAAAGCACGGCUCCCAUUGACUUCUGUGAUAGAUGUCUCUUAGCAUUUCUGCAAAUCAGAAAGUAAGGGACACACAAUUAGUGACCCCUCGUAAAAAAUGUUGAAGUGACUUGACUAGCAUUACAUAAGAAUUCUGUAGCAGAGCUCAGUUCUCCAGCACGAUGACAUUCAACUGUCUUACCCGUGAAGUCGUCUUCUCUCUUUUGACCCAACCCUGUGUCUUUUACUGCACAGCUUCCACCUCACCAAGCAGGCAGGAGUCUCACAGAAAACAGUCUCUUUUACUAAACAAUCCUGAUUUAUCCUCAGACCAGAAUGGACAAUUCUGUACAGGCAGUCCUCGGAUUUACGACACAAUUGGUUCCUGAAAUUUGCAUCUUGAGUCGAAACGGUGUAACUCGGAACUGAUUUUCCCAUAGGAACAAUGUUAUAAAUGGAGGAUUGGUUCCUGAACCAAGGCCCAAUACCUUAUUUUCACCAAAAAUAACCCAGAAUUUUGUAUUCGAUCAAUUAUAGAUGAGUCAUAUAGCUACAUUCAUGUAUUUAUAUUGUAAAUAGCAAUCAUAUUGAUGUGCAAGGACUUCUUUGAGGUGACUUUGCUGGACUUUAAAGGGCUCUUGGCUGGACUUGUUGAAGGGUUCUCGGCUGGAGUCUUCUCACAGGUCUUGGCUGCAGGACGUUUGGACAGAUGUUCUCCAGGCAGAUGUGUGAUGCAGCGAACUUGUUUGCUGGCCUGGCAUCACAUUGGAUCAAGCGUUGUCACGUGGAAACUGAUGUCAGAAAGUCGAAACAGGGUGUCAGUUUAUGAACAUUGUAAGUGCCGUUCGUUGUAACUCAAAACAUCUUAAGUCGGGGACCGCCUGUAUGUGAUUGUGCAAUGGGAAAACUGCCUAAGAUGCACAAGGGAGCUGAAUAAAGGCUGAGCAGGCAAAGUUAA